rnacentral:rRNA from 1 species
UGAACGCUGGCGGCGUGCCUAAUACAUGCAAGUCGAGCGAACAGAUGCGGAGCUUGCUCCUCUGACGUUAGCGGCGGACGGGUGAGUAACACGUGGAUAACCUACCUAUAAGACUGGGAUAACUUCGGGAAACCGGAGCUAAUACCGGAUAAUAUAUUGAACCGCAUGGUUCAAUAGUGAAAGACGGUUUUGCUGUCACUUAUAGAUGGAUCCGCGCCGCAUUAGCUAGUUGGUAAGGUAACGGCUUACCAAGGCAACGAUGCGUAGCCGACCUGAGAGGGUGAUCGGCCACACUGGAACUGAGACACGGUCCAGACUCCUACGGGAGGCAGCAGUAGGGAAUCUUCCGCAAUGGGCGAAAGCCUGACGGAGCAACGCCGCGUGAGUGAUGAAGGUCUUCGGAUCGUAAAACUCUGUUAUUAGGGAAGAACAAAUGUGUAAGUAACUAUGCACGUCUUGACGGUACCUAAUCAGAAAGCCACGGCUAACUACGUG